rnacentral:rRNA from 1 species
UACGUAGGGUGCAAGCGUUGUCCGGAAUUCUUGGGCGUAAAGAGCUCGUAGGCGGUCUGUUGCGUCGGCUGUGAAAACCCGGGGCUCAACUCCGGGCCUGCAGCCGAUACGGGCAGACUAGAGUUCGGCAGGGGAGACUGGAAUUCCUGGUGUAGCGGUGAAAUGCGCAGAUAUCAGGAGGAACGCCGGUGGCGAAGGCGGGUCUCUGGGCCGAUACUGACGCUGAGGAGCGAAGGCGUGGGGAGCGAACAGG